rnacentral:lncRNA from 1 species
GAGGUGAAGAUACGCAGGACGUCCUCUAAAGCAACUUCCGUGGGUGCCAGGUUGUGGGCUGGGGGCGGUGCUGACCUUGAGAGAGCGGAGGAGGCGCAGGCGCAGCACAGGUACGUGGGCGGGCGGAUCGUGGUGGCUGCGCUUGCGAGGACCCUGAGGUAGAUUGGGUGGUUUCAACAGGAACGCAUCCACUGUCUGAGAGUUUAAACUUGAUUUUGUGAGGGGACGAACAGCGUGACAAUUAAAAGAAGAUCUGGGAAUCAAAAGCUUCCUGAGGCCUUCACCAGAAGCAGAUGCUGGUGCCGUGCUUCUACAGCCUGCAGAACUGAAGGACUUUACAGCUUCUCUUUCGCAUAUCCAAAUUGCCAGCAUCACCGCUCUUGCACUCCAAGCCAUUAUUAAGUAAAGUAAAGAACACAAACACUGUGAUACUGCUACACUUGAUCUGAUAACCAAGAAGUCUACUAAGUGACUAACAGAGCAACUGGGAACCUAAUUCUGACCAAAAAGGAGGAAUUGUUUGGCUAAUUGGAAGUGACAGAAACCUUGGGAGAAAGCAACCGCAUACCAAGGAUAAUUAUAAGAAGAAGAGAAGACAUGGAGAAGAGGAGGGAGUAGUUGUGACCGUGGAGGCAGAGAAUGGAGUAAUGUGAUCAUAAAUCAAGGAAUGCUGACAGCCACUAAAGCUGGAGAAGGCCAAGGACAGAUAUUCAAUCCUCCCGUAGAAGUACAGCCCUGCUAAUGCAUUGAUUUUGGACUUCUGGCCUCAGAACUGUCUGGAAAGCAUGGAAAUUUGUAUCUUCAUUCACUUUUGUUUUCAUGGACUCUUUUCAUGUUUGAACUUUUCAUGAUCCAAUGUGAUAAUUUAUGUGAAAUCUUUCUGCAAACUAUACAGUAUGAUAAAAAUAUAAGGUAGUUUCACUGGAAACAACAGAAGACUAGAAGCUGAUGUGACGUGGCAAUAUCAACCAGGAAUACCCAUCUCGAGUUCUGGAUAUGUGCUCUGAGAAGGUGCCCAUGUCACCGACCACACUGGAGGCCAAUGCAGAUACUGGGGGAAGGUUCCAUGGUAGCUAAGUGUGGACAAGCUAAUCACUGAAGUUCCCUGAUGCAGAGUUGAUAAUCUCUCUAGAGUUGGAUGAAAGACUGUGCUGCCUUGAAGCUCUGAGAGAUGCCAUGCCAAUUCAAGGCAGGGUCUUUAUUGUUGAAACUCUUGCGUAAUGACAUCUUUAUUCAGGUGAAAAUACAGGAUGAAUUUCAACUAUAUGAUAUUGUUUAUGUUCCUCAGACAUGUUAUUUGUCUUUACAAAGAUUGGUUUCAAUAAACUGUGUGACUGAUAUUAAAUAAACAUGGAAUUUUACACAUUCAUAAU